rnacentral:rRNA from 1 species
GACGAACGCUGGCGGCGUGCUUAACACAUGCAAGUCGAACGGAAAGGCCCUGCUUUUGUGGGGUGCUCGAGUGGCGAACGGGUGAGUAACACGUGAGUAACCUGCCCUUGACUUUGGGAUAACUUCAGGAAACUGGGGCUAAUACCGGAUAGGAGCUCCUGCUGCAUGUUGGGGGUUGGAAAGUUUCGGCGGUUGGGGAUGGACUCGCGGCUUAUCAGCUUGUUGGUGGGGUAGUGGCUUACCAAGGCUUUGACGGGUAGCCGGCCUGAGAGGGUGACCGGCCACAUUGGGACUGAGAUACGGCCCAGACUCCUAAGGGAGGCAGAAGUGGGGAAUAUUGCACAAUGGGCGGAAGCCUGAUGCAGCAACGCCGCGUGCGGGAUGACGGCCUUCGGGUUGUAAACCGAUUUCGCCUGUGACGAAGCGUGAGUGACGGUAAUGGGUAAAGAAGCACCGGCUAACUACGUG